CCUACGGGCGGCAGCAGUCGAGAAUCAUUCACAAUGGGGGAAACCCUGAUGGUGCGACGCCGCGUGGGGGAAUGAAGGUCUUCGGAUUGUAAACCCCUGUCAUGUGGGGGCAAAUUAAAAAGAUAGUACCACAAGAGGAAGAGACGGCUAACUCUGUGCCAGCAGCCGCGGUAAUACAGAGGUCUCAAGCGUUGUUCGGAAUCACUGGGCGUAAGGCGUGCGUAGGCUGUUUCGUAAGUCGUGUGUGAAAGGCGCGGGCUCAACCCGCGGACGGCACAUGAUACUGCGAGACUAGAGUAAUGUAGGGGGAACCGGAAUUCUCGGUGUAGCAGUGAAAUGCGUAGAUAUCGAGAGGAACACUCGUGGCGAAGGCGGGUUCCUGGACAUUAACUGACGCUGAGGCACGAAGGCCAGGGGAGCGAAAGGGAUUAGAUACCCUUGUAGUC
rnacentral:rRNA from 1 species